CCCAGCUUGCUGGGCGGAUUAGUGGCGAACGGGUGAGUAAUACGUGAGUAACCUGCCCUUGACUCUGGGAUAAGCCUGGGAAACUGGGUCUAAUACUGGAUACUACCUCUUACCGCAUGGUGGGUGGUGGAAAGGGUUUUACUGGUUUUGGAUGGGCUCACGGCCUAUCAGCUUGUUGGUGGGGUAAUGGCUCACCAAGGCGACGACGGGUAGCCGGCCUGAGAGGGUGACCGGCCACACUGGGACUGAGACACGGCCCAGACUCCUACGGGAGGCAGCAGUGGGGAAUAUUGCACAAUGGGCGGAAGCCUGAUGCAGCGACGCCGCGUGAGGGAUGACGGCCUUCGGGUUGUAAACCUCUUUCAGUAGGGAAGAAGCGAGAGUGACGGUACCUGCAGAAGAAGCGCCGGCUAACUACGUGCCAGCAGCCGCGGUAAUACGUAGGGCGCAAGCGUUGUCCGGAAUUAUUGGGCGUAAAGAGCUCGUAGGCGGUUUGUCGCGUCUGCUGUGAAAGCCCGGGGCUCAACCCCGGGUCUGCAGUGGGUACGGGCAGACUAGAGUGCAGUAGGGGAGACUGGAAUUCCUGGUGUAGCGGUGAAAUGCGCAGAUAUCAGGAGGAACACCGAUGGCGAAGGCAGGUCUCUGGGCUGUUACUGACGCUGAGGAGCGAAAGCAUGGGGAGCGAACAGGAUUAGAUACCCUGGUAGUCCAUGCCGUAAACGUUGGGCACUAGGUGUGGGGGACAUUCCACGUUUUCCGCGCCGUAGCUAACGCAUUAAGUGCCCCGCCUGGGGAGUACGGCCGCAAGGCUAAAACUCAAAGGAAUUGACGGGGGCCCGCACAAGCGGCGGAGCAUGCGGAUUAAUUCGAUGCAACGCGAAGAACCUUACCAAGGCUUGACAUUCACCGGACCGCCCCAGAGAUGGGGUUUCCCUUCGGGGCUGGUGGACAGGUGGUGCAUGGUUGUCGUCAGCUCGUGUCGUGAGAUGUUGGGUUAAGUCCCGCAACGAGCGCAACCCUCGUUCUAUGUUGCCAGCACGUGAUGGUGGGGACUCAUAGGAGACUGCCGGGGUCAACUCGGAGGAAGGUGGGGAUGACGUCAAAUCAUCAUGCCCCUUAUGUCUUGGGCUUCACGCAUGCUACAAUGGCCGGUACAAAGGGUUGCGAUACUGUGAGGUGGAGCUAAUCCCAAAAAGCCGGUCUCAGUUCGGAUUGAGGUCUGCAACUCGACCUCAUGAAGUCGGAGUCGCUAGUAAUCGCAGAUCAGCAACGCUGCGGUGAAUACGUUCCCGGGCCUUGUACACACCGCCCGUCAAGUCACGAAAGUUGGUAACACCCGAAGCCGGUGGCCUAACCCCUUGUGGGAGGGAGCCGUCGAAGGUGGGACUGGCGAUUGGGA
rnacentral:rRNA from 1 species